UUUAAUUUCCGAUUAAACUUUAUUUAAUUUCGAGGAACCAUUUCAGGUCACGGGCUAAUCAGGCUCACAGAUCUGAGUGCGGACAGCAGGGGUCCCCAGUUCACUGCGUGCUGGCGGUGUACUCCCUGCCUCGGUAAAACUCUCCUUUUAGUCAGCAGUCUGCCAAAAUCGACGCUGGAUCGAAACAUUAGAAUAAAACAGAAAAAUGUAGUGAUUGUUAUCUGAUGUUUACCUAAAAUUAACGUAAAACAAACUGCCCGGCCGCCGUGACGUCCUCAACAGAGUUGCGCGCGCCUGUUGGCAGCGGAAGUUGACUUUAGUUGUUUCUCAUAACUUCCGUAACCCGUGCUAACCACAAAAACCAAACAGUUUUAAAGCAAAAAUGAUAGUUUGCUGCGUGUCUGGUUGUAAAAAGCGGUAUAUCCGCAGCAAAAAAUUGAAAUUUUACAAAAUACCGUCUCGGGGCCACCGGAGGCGUUUGUGGCUGCGAGCAAUACAAGAAGCGAACGGCAGCACUGCGAGACUCACGGAAAAUGAUCGCGUUUGUGGCGCUCAUUUCAUAUCAGGAGAAGCAUCUAUGGAGCGUGAUAAGCCGGACUUUGUGCCUUCUGUUUUUACCUGCACCCAAAAAAAUCAAAGCCCUAAGAAAAAAGUGAAAUGGUUUUAUGGUCGUAGAAAAAGGCAUCGCCGGAAGGCAAGAGGCAGAAGAGAGGAAAAUGCAGCUCCAAUUCGAGCUGAGUCUUCUGUGAAUCCUGAGCCGUCUGUUUUGACGGGAACUGAAAGUGAACUUUCAGAAGAAAUGCAGACGCCAGCAACCCCCUCAGUGCCAAAGGAAGGAGAAACGGUGGCAAAAGUGUCUGAGACUGAAGCAGAAACCCAAAUUAUCCAGACUCAAACAAUCAACUUAAAUAAGACAUCACCAUCCUUCAAAGGACUACCAGACACCCUAAAACUAGAUAAGAGAAGGCCAAUUGUGCUCCUGAAACCUUUAGUUGCAUCAGAAGGUGGUUAUCGGUGUGAACUGUGCAGUCAGACCUUCACUGAUAUACCACAGCUGGUAAAACACAAACGGCUGCAUGAAGAACAAAGGUCCUUUGUCUGUGAAAAUUGUGGAAAAAGCUUCAUAAGUCAGGCAGAUUUCAGUGAGCACCAUGCUGUGCACAGAGAUGAGCCCCUCUUUCCGUGCAACAUGUGUGAUCGAUCUUUCACCACAAUUCACCAACUGAAGCGUCAUAAACUGCUCCAUGUUAAAGAUGGCAGGAAGUGCCUCAGGUGUGGCACGCUGUUCUGUCAGCGUCACAACCACAUUUUAUUCCUUCCGCAGACAGAGUUUAAAACAGAGUCUGAGCCUGAGGACAGUUCCUCUAGGAGUGAGACGGAAAAUGAACUGGAACCAAGCCAGAUGACUGAAAUACCUGGCAACACUCAGAGCUCAAGGACCGUUACACCUCCACUGUCUACUUCUGCUCCAACUGCUGCUCCUACACCCCCAAAUCCUGGAUUUCUAUCCAAGCCCCCACCUUUGGCUACAUUUAGUAGAUUACCAGAAAUCCCCCCACCUGUGUUGCUGAGACCGUGUCCUGUGCCUCGUCGACUCUAUCCAGAAGUGAGACACUCAGAAAACCCGGGUACCUCAUUUCACCAUGACUUCUUCACCCAAAAUACAGAACUUCCAUCUUCACUGAAGAUCUUUUCACCUCAGUACCUCACCUCAGCCUUCUUAGAGGUUAAAAGAAAUUAUCAAUAUAUUUUAAGCAAGCCGAAAAAGUGUAGGGUUAAGAAUCCGGUGAAGAAGGAACAAAGUGAGGCACCAAUAAUUUCACCAGAAGAACACACUCAGCCAGAAAAAAAGGAGAGAAUAGCUUAUGACCUGGAGAUGGUGCUCUGAUCUGAAUAAUGGAUUAGAAUGACCUGUUUACUUACCUGACCUGUUUGCCUUACUUAAGAUGUUCAACAUUAGUGCUCCUAUCCUAUUAGUGUUUCUGUUCUUUGAGUUAAAAGGCAUUUUUAACAAAAGCAAGGAUGUGUUCAGUAUUAAGCCUGUAGUAUUUGGCUUGUACUUGCACUACUUUUGCCUCUCUUAGCACACUGAUAUAUUUGUAAUUACUGUAAUGCUGAUAUUUUUUUUUUUAGUUUUGUAGUUAAAAUCUUUCACUUCUUAAUCAGUGAUGAGGUGCAAUUGUUUUUUUCACUACUGUUUGAUAAGUAAUACUGUUAUGUAUGUAAAGAUAACUGACCUGUGUUGUAAAACCGCACCAGGUGGGAUUUGGGCUUCAGGCUGUAUUCUGUACUUGGCAAUUUGUGCCGUAAUAAUCACUUUAGUCUGUGGAAAAAUGCACCGUGUGCUACAAACGGCAUCAAUAAUAUGAUCAAGCUUCUCUAAUAACAAUUGCCACACAAUUCGGUUUUCACAUCUGCCUCAGCUAACUGGAAACAGAUAGCGGUUGCAGCUUUAUAUUACAUAUAUAAACCGAUCAGCCGUAACCUUGAAACCAUGAAUAACCUUGAUUGCACUAUUACAGUGGUUGGUUCUGCUGGCAAACCUUGAGCUCCCAGGAAUUCGUGUGGGUGUUACUUUUACGCGCAACACACGCCUACAAAUGGAAAGGCUUGAAGAGCAUGACAAAGAGUCCAAGGUGUUGACAGGACCUCUAAACUCUCAGAUCUCAAUCCAGAAAAACCGCUGAUCCACAGUGGCCACUACAGCAGAAGACAGCUGUUGCUCCUGGCCACAUGCCGAAGAGGACAAAUCCAGAGGGUCCAGUAUGCAUGCCCUGAGGGAUUACAGUCAUUUUGUCAGAUAUCAGGUGGUUUUUAUGUUGUUGAUCAUAUGCAGUGUAUAUGAUCAACAACGUAUGUAUGAUAUAGCUACAGUUACAUCAACCAUUUGUUACAUUUUGUGCGUUUUUUUUUUAAGUUGUCCUCUUUGUUUUUGUUUUUUUUUGUUUUUUAAUCUGUAUAUGAGAAGUGGAUCUGACUGUGAAACCAGUGCUGUUUGUUUCCUAAUAAAUACCGUUUAUGGUUAGAGUAAACAACUGCCAGCUUAAAAAUGCCUCCAUCAAGCGUUUGUCGAAUUUUUAAAGUGAACACUAAAAUCAUCUGUGAGUAGAAUUAACAGUACCAACAGUCCUCCAUUAACUACAAUCAAUUAAGUGUAGUUUAGAGACUGUAUAUAAAAGAUGUACAUAGUCACAGGGAUGUCAUCCAUUGAUUGCUAAGCUCCAUUUUUUUUUUUAAACUCUGUGUUUUUUGUUGUUGCCAUUUUAGCUUUUUGAAACUGGACUUCACAAGUGUGUGUAGAGGUAAAACUGAGGGAUACUAAGGGAUGCACCAUGUUUUUGUUGCUUUUUUUGGCUUGAAUGGGGGCUGUAGCUAGCAACUAAGACUAAUUGGGAAAAUGUUUACUGCAGUCAUAGGUCAUAAAGGGUCAUUUUUCCUCACGAUCAUAUUGGUUGCAUAAAACCCAAUAUGGUCAACCCACGUCACUUUUUAGCUGGCUUUUAGUCACUAGUGGAUCUUCCACACUGCAGUUGUGUAGUGGAUCCUUUUAAUGUAUUCAUGAAAAUCUUAUAUCAAUUAACAGUACGUUUUGAUCCCAUGCUUAACUCCAAACGUGCCCACGUUCCAUCGUUUGGGGUUAUGUCACCUGCUGUUUCUACAAGUUGCUGAAUUUAAUUGACAUUUCGUGGUCUCUUAUAUGGAUUAAGGCACCUUCGGCUUCGCUUUUCUGACUUGUGAGCUAUGACCAUCUUUUAUAUGCAAUCUAUGAUAUUUGCAAUGUUUGCACACAACAUGGAGUUUUGAUUUCCCAUUUGUAAAAAACAACAACUUUGGAGAGGUUACGUUUUAUUUUAUUUUUGUUUGUUUGUUUUGUUCUCCUUCAGCUGACCUGUAUGUAUAUGUACUCAAAUGUAGAAAUGGCAGAAAACAUGGACAAAUGGAAAGAUUGAACUACCAUGUACCCAUUUCCCCCACACCAAGAAGCACCUAACCUGCUAUAGCUGUAACAAGCAGUACACUAGUUCUCUACCCAUUACAACCUGAAACAUUCUGCAUUUCACUGUGUUCACCUUACUGUCUGUUAAGAUUUUCUUUACAAUUGAUACAUUUCCAAAUAAAACAUUCUUGGAAUAGCAUUAUCUGUUAAAAUAGCUAAAGCUGUUUGUCAGCUGGUGAUUUGCAGCUGUCUACUGCAUGCCCAUUAGACUUGCUCUCACAUGGACACAGGAACAAGAGAAAAAAAUAAGCUGUAUGAAGUGAAGUAUGGUCUUUACAUAAUGUAAUAAAAUUAAAUUACUGUAUUAUAUUUUUUUGACUUUUCUUAAUGCAUAGAUUUCACAGAGUUGUAACAGUUUUGAAGGAAAGUUCAAGGUUGUCAGACCAAGUAGUCUGUCCUGAUGGUGGGUCUAGAGGGAUUGUUAAAAUGACCCAAAAAUGUCUGUCUAACUUUCUUGGACAGUCUUCCUGUCAGUGUGUCACACUGCAUUAAAACCACCUGCUUGUUCUGUGAGCUGACUGCACAGAAAAACCCUGCAGUACAGCAACAAUAAGGUGUGUACUAGUUUUCAUUGCUUGGAGCUUUUCUUGCUAUGCAGCUGAAUUUUCCAAGGAGGAUUUUUACUUUAACUGCUGCAUGGAUGUGAAGUAAAAAAAGGACCCCAUUGCUCUAUAAUCCAACCUGCCAACCACAGUUUACAUAGUAAAAGUCCUAUUUGGCCAUACAGAUGUUUUCAGUUAACAUUGCGGUUAUAAAGCCUUUAUGUAAUCAACUUCUGGGUCGUUAGGUUCAGCUGCAUUGAUCUGGUGAAUGUUUUUGCACUGUCUGCAAUUGAGCCGUGACAAAUAUUUUAAUAAUUAAUCAUAAUGUGAAAAUGCAGACUUGAUUCGACUGUUCCGGAGAAAGCUGGAUCCGAUGUGACUGACAAAGUGUUAAAUUUUUUUAAAGAUGAAAAACCCUACUUUAUAUUAAAAAAAAUGUUUAUACAUUGACAAGUAAACCAG
rnacentral:lncRNA from 1 species